AGUGGAUGGGGAGCAACCUAGUUGUGCGUGUGUAAAGGUAGUGCCAAGAAAAGCGAUGAUCAUGUUGAAAAUCAAUUCCCGGUACCCGAAACCGACACAGGUGGGCAAGUAGAGAAUACUAAGGGGCGCGAGGUAACUCUCUCCAAGGAACUCGGCAAAAUGACCCCGUAACUUAGGGAGAAGGGGUGCCACCGAGAGGUGGUCGCAGUGAAGAGGCCCAGGCGACUGUUUAGCAAAAACAUAGGUCUCUGCAAACUCGAAAGAGGAGGUAUAGGGGCUGACGCCUGCCCAGUGCCGGAAGGUUAAAGAAGUUGGUCAGUUUUAGGAUGAAGCUAGCGACUGAAGCCCCGGUGAACGGCGGCCGUAACUAUAACGGUCCUAAGGUAGCGAAAUUCCUUGUCGGGUAAGUUCCGACCCGCACGAAAGGCGUAACGAUCUGGGCGCUGUCUCGGAGAGAGGCUCGGCGAAAUAGGAUUGUCUGUGAAGAUACGGACUACCUGCAUUUGGACAGAAAGACCCUAUGAAGCUUUACUAUAGCUUGGAAUUGUGUUCGGGCUUCCUGUGCGCAGGAUAGGUGGGAGGCGUAGAAGGUAUUCUUGUGGGGAUACUGGAGCCAACGGUGAGAUACCACUCUCAGGAGGCUAGAAUUCUAACUUAAUUAAGGACAGUUUCAGGUGGGUAGUUUGACUGGGGCGGUCGCCUCCAAAAAGGUAACGGAGGCGUACAAAGGUUCCCUCAGACUGGUUGGAAAUCAGUCGAAGAGUGCAAAGGCAGAAGGGAGCUUGACUGCGAGAAGUACAGUUCGAGCAGGGUGGAAACACGGUCUUAGUGAUCCGACGGUGCUGUGUGGAAGGGCCGUCGCUCAACGGAUAAAAGUUACUCUAGGAUAACAGGCUGAUCUCCCCCAAGAGUUCACAUCGACGGGGAGGUUUGGCACCUCGAUGUCGGCUCAUCGCAACCUGGGGCGGAAGUACGUCCCAAGGGUUGGGCUGUUCGCCCAUUAAAGCGGUACGUGAGCUGGGUUCAGAACGUCGUGAGACAGUUCGGUCCAUAUCCGAUGUACGCGUGAGAAUAUUGAGAGGAGCCUUCCUUAGUACGAGAGGACCGGGAAGGACGCACCGCUGGUGUACCUGUUAUGAUGCCAAUUGUAAACGCAGGGUAGCCAAGUGCGGAGAGGAUAACCGCUGAAAGCAUCUAAGUGGGAAGCCCACCUCAAGAUGAGUAUUCUGGUGUAAGGUCACGGGAAGACGACCCGUAAAUAGGCACGAGGUGGAAGUGCAGAGAUGUAUGAAGCCGAAGUGUACUAAUAGACCGUCGGCUUGACC
rnacentral:rRNA from 1 species